rnacentral:lncRNA from 1 species
CUUUGUGUUUGUUAUAUGACUUCAUCGUGCAACAAUGUUCGAAGAAUAUUGUCUGACUUUUUGUGCCAUGAAAACGUCUUUCAUUUUUCAUGUCAAAGCUGUACGGAUAUUAAAGUUAUUUUUCAUUUCAGGGUUAUCAAAAACAAUGCUUAUGACCAUAUGACAUGCAAUGUGAAAGCAUUAAAUUCAGCUAUUCUUGGUGCAUGACAUCGUGUGUAAUUGCAAUCCAGUUCCAUACCAAGCUCUACAACUAAUAAAAGUAUCUCCCUCGCGGAACGUGAUUAUUUACACACACUGGUUCUAUCCUAUCAGCAGUCAACAAGUUUUUUUAUUUUAAUCUGUAACUUUUCUUAAUAGGUGCAGCAGUUGACACAUGUUUCAGAUUUCUUUCUCCUUAUACUAUUUUCUUCACAAGCUUCACCUAUAAAAUUUAAUUUUCAGAUUAGAUGGACGAUUUUACCAUAGAUAUGGCUUGUUUUUUCGGGUUUUGUGAACUCAGAUAGGACACUGGAGGCCAUGCUGCUCUUGCCUGUGGCUUGGUUUAAACUUCUUAUAUCCUAGAAUUCACUAAUUAGAAAGAAAAAAAACGUACAUGGACCCCUACAAGGUUUAGGGGAAAUAUAGAUUUCUAUCGAAUAUUUCAGAAAUAUACAUUUUAUUUCUUAGUUUUUUCUAUGUUAUAACACAUAAUUCCCUAUUGUUAUCUUAUACAUAUCCAACCUCAUGGGCAUUAAUUUGUUUCUCUAAAAUAUGAAGUUUGUGCAAGAAAAUUUAUGAGAAGCUCAAAUCAGAGUCUCAACAUCUUUAUAGUAUUGUUUACAAUGAUAUAAUGAAGCAAACAAUAUCAUGAAUGAUGCUGAAAUUUAUUGUUAACCAAGAAGUGCAUCACUUCAAGCACCGGUGUCACUUGGCUGCCUUGAGUAGAUUGUGAUCUUUGAAGAGCGAAAACAGAAUAUUAGAUUGUGGUCUUUGAAGAACAAAACAAACUAUUGAUUUUCUUUUUGUGUUUGCGUCUUGUUAUUUGUUGUAUUUUUAUUAUUAAAGAGGAAUUGAAGUCCCAAGAUGGGAAGAAACAUGCCCCAAAAAUGAAAAGGAUAAUGUCGUGAUUUGCUUUUGUACUUUAGAAAGGGCAUCGCAUAUUUCUGAAACAUUGGGUGGGAUUUGUAGUUACCUCAAAUCUCGAGAAAGGUUAGUAUAAUUUACUCUAAAAAGAAAAUCAUAGGUAAUAGCUGAAAGUAUCACCAGAUUACAUUUUAUUUAUUCCAUUGACACUAAACAAAUUAGUAAUGUAUAUAACGUUACACAGGGGUUAGCGUGCAUCAUCUACAUGCUUUAGGUGGGACGCUUGGAAGGAAAUCGGCUGUAUCUUCUGGAAGGUUUCACCUUUUUUCGUACGAAACCACCACUAGGGAUCACCUACUGCAUAGAUCUCAAGGCACUCCAAGCUCCAUCAUUCCUCUAUCAGCAUAAAUCUCAAAGCGAGCAACUAAUGAUCUAGCAAAAUUCUUCUUUCAUGCAAAAGAUACACUCCUGUCCUCGCUUAAAAACUCUUAGACUACACAUCUUCCAUCACGCCCGCAUAUACUCAAUACCUAACAUACUAAGAGUUAAUCUAAAAGAUAGUAAUUCAUGUCAUUGUUGAUGUUUUUUACUUGAUUAAUGACAUGAAUUUUUAAAGACUAGAAAGAAGAUAUGCCUCACACCCCAGAAAAUGUGGUUAGUGUAAAACAAGUGAAAAAUUCUAGCGAGUACAAGCAAUGUGCCUUGGUGCUGGAGGAUCCAACUUUUCCCGAGUGUGGGAGGUGGAUUCCAGCAAUCAUAGCCUAAAAGCAACCCUUCACUUCUGUGCUGGUGCCAAAAUCUAAAUGUCGGAAAGUUCCAAGAUUAUGUGCUGAUUUGCCUUGUAUCUAAAGGAAUUAUCAUGCCAAAUCGAUCCCCCCACGUAGGAGAAUGUGGCUUUGUGCCAAGAAAAAACGGAAGGCUUUGAUAGACCACUAUGUAAGUCGCCCAUCAAAAGAAAUGACCUCCAAUGGAGAUCAAGACUAGACUAUUGGAAUAGAGAAGAGCCAAUUAUAAUUGUCUUUUAAGCAGAUGAUUACAUUAGUCUUAUUAAAUACAUCAUAAACAUUAUAUAAGCAAAAGCAAUAUUUAUUUUAUUUUAUUUCAUUUUUAAGAAAUAUGAUAUAUGCAGUUAAUAUAUAUAUGCAGAUAUGCACCAAUAGACUAUAGUUUCCAUCGAAUAUUCAAAUGAGUUAUUUCUUAUGAUGCAUCUAUACAUAUUAUUAUACCUAAAAAUUCUGUUGCGGGUGUGGAAUUUUACUGUUGCUCCUCAACAUUUCAUCGCACAUUAAGCAAAAAGAAAUAACACAGUUUCUUGUAUCAACCUGAUAGUUUUCCCACUUCUUUAUUUAGAUACUUUUAAAAUCUACAAGAACCUUAAAGGUUGCACCAGUAUCUACCUAAAUUCAAAUUACAUAAGCAAGGCAAUAACCUUGCUUCCUUAUAACCUGCCGAUCCUCCCAUGUACAAGUGAGAGUACUAGAUAGAUUGCCUUAGAGCUAGUUACGUAAUUACCAUGGCUCCAUAAGAUUUUGGAGCAUGAUAUGGUUAUAAUAACAACUAUGCCACAAAAUGAUUCAUUUAUAUUACUUUUUUGAUGCAUUAAAAAACUCCAAAAAAAAAAAGUUACAUAGAACCAAUGUAAUGGACAAGCCACUUUCCUUGGGUGGAAUUUGACAUCAAUUCUUGAAGACCUCAUUUUUUUUGCAUUAGAAAUUCUUUAAGAUCUCUUACUAGUAGAAGAAAUCCAUGGAGGACUAAUUGUGGCUAGUUAAUCAAUUUUAGGGUGGGUCUUCCAUAAUUAAAUAUUCUAUUAUUACAAGAAGAUCUUGGGUGGGGGGGGGGGGGGUGUAAGAUAUUCUUUAACUUUAAUGUGUCACACUUUUAACCCACUUUAUUGAUAUGCACUUUACAAAAGAACAGUUUUAUUUGUAAUCUGAAAUCUGGAUUGUAAAAUCUAACUUUAUAAACUUCACCAAUCUUCCAAUAUGAACCUGAAACCUUUACCUAGUUUUCGUGCGGAGGGGAAGGGUGACAACUAAUGAACUCAAGUAUUGUUGGCCUUGGAUUUGACCUUGUUCACGCUCAUCAUAAUUUUAAAAUUCUUAUGAAGCAUUAGAAGAAAAUCCUGUAUCCUCGAUUCACUUCAGAUGAUGACACCAAGGCAGGUUGUCCAAGUGUUUCCAUGCAGAAUUUCAAAUAUGAAGGCAUGCUUUCAGUCCCACAGCCUAUCUAUUAAUAUAUGCUUGGCACACGAGCAAUACUAGGUCGAACUUAAGAGAGAAUGUAUAUAUUAUUUUAAUCUUCACUUACAUAUAUCGUAUAGUCCUCUUUUCAUCAAUGUAUGGAUCUCUCAAGCUUAAUAUCUACGGGGUACAAUCCCUGGUCUCUUGUUUUUUUUUUUUUCAUUUGGUUUAAGGAUUACCAGUUCAUGACUGCACUUGUCCUUUCUUUGGAUUAAGGUGUCCUACUUGUCCUUCUACGACAAGUUUAUGGCACAAAAAUUCAACGCCCAUGGCACUUCUUCCACUAUUAAACACCAUCUCAACUUGAGACUAUAAACUAGUUAACGUAGGGGGCCAAGUAUGCAGCCUGCUUCUUCUUUCAAACCAGUCUCCAAUCAUAACACGGCAGCUGGCAUCCUUGGUCAAAAUUAGCCAUUAUGUCAGUGCAAUUGGACAUGAGUCGGAGAGGCUGACCGAGAAUUUGGGUCGACCCAAUCUAACGACUUUGUUCCCCUGGUUGGAGUCUCCACUUUCGAUAUGUAUAUUUUUUCAAACAGACACAAGCCAUUAAUUUCAUGCCGCUAUAUUGGACUCCUCGUGCUCCAUAGCUGCGAAAACAAGCCCACGGUCGCAGAAGGAAGGCGACAAGAACUAUCGAAGGGUGAGACUUAUCUCAAGAACUAUUGAAGCUAGGGUCCAUCAUCAAAAAAAAAAAAAACUAAUUGAAGGGGGAAGGUGUGAACCCUCUCCUUCUCUCCAUGGUAGCUUCGGCCAACCUUCCUGCAGUAAAAUUUCUCGCCUACAUCUCCCACCACUUGAUGGAUGUCUCGCGCGUGUUUGAUAGACUACAUUAUUAAAAGUGAAAGGAAGAAAGCAAUAAAAGAAAUAAGACCACCCCCACGUUUUUCUGACCAUAAGACCAUGCAUGCAGUGGUCGCUCGUACACGCACGGAUCGCCACCAGUUUAUCUUUGGAUGCGUAGAGAUGCCAGUGUCUCUACAGGAACCAGCCAUUUGGCCUUCCCCUAAGCUUAUUCCUAUUAGUGUAUCUCAUGGCGGAUUUUCUUGAUUAAAGAAAGGUACCCUAUGGCAGAUUAUCCUGCUGGGAUGCUCCUUGGAAGAGCAAUUGAUGAGUACUAGGUAAUAAAAUCUCUUCCUGCCAUAGAUGAAUAAAGUUCUUUUCCUAACAAAUGAUGGGAGGGUGCAGUGCCUUUUAGAUAGUGCAUGUUUACCAAGAAGCGAACCGAGCCGCAGACUGAAUUGCUACCUAUGCGGCUCAGCAUGUUGGAAAAGUUCUCUGGACUCAUCAGGGGGUCCCUCUUGCACUGCUGUGCCAGAUUCUUAUUCUUGAUUCAGUUGGCUGCACUUACACUAGAGUAGGGUGAAUAACCAUUGUACCAAAAAGAAAAAGCAAUUGAUGAAUACUAGAUAAUGAAAUCUCUUCCUGAUGUAGAUGAAUUAAUUUUCUUUUCUUGGUCUCAAAAUAUUAGUUAAAUAAUAAGCUCUGGUUUAUUGGUAAGUGGAAUAGGAUAUCAAUUAAUGAGGUGGAUUCGAUGCAGUUAACAAAAAAUCGAAAUCGGACCCGAAAUCUACCAUCGCUUGUUGAAACCAAAACCAUUUUUGUAUUCAUUUUUGUAUUCAUUUCGUAAUUUUUACAUAUAAAUAAUCAAAUUAAAAAGCACCAUCUAUAAUUUUUAUAAUAUCAUUCAUAUCAAUUUAAUGGAUAAAUAUAUCCAAAACUAAUAACAUUGCCGCUAAACAAACUCAGUUAAUAAUAUAACCAUCAACUUUAUUCAAAGUCUAUAAUUUUAUUAAUAUCAAGAAAAGUUUUAUAGAUUACCUCAUCAACAUAAAAGUCAUUUUCACUAUUAUCUUAUGGAGUUCCUAAUUUAGAUUUAUACUAAAUACAAGAGGCAUUAAGAAUGUUACUUAUGCAGUAUGUUCAGUAAUAGGUUCGGUAUCAAGUUUAGUGCCGGAUUAAGUUUUGGGUUAGAGAAUUCAUCGGAAUCGAAACUGAAGCCAAAAUCGAAUAAUUUUUUUAAUUUUUAAAACCAUUAUUUGAACCAUCCCCAUUUAAUUUGAAUUAAAACUACUUCAUUCGGUUCAAAGCCAAAUAAAAUAUUUAGAUACCCAUUCAUGUUGACAUCCCUAAAGUGGAACAAUCCAUGCCUAUUAAGGAUGGGAUAUAUUUUAACAUCAUUUGUAAUAAUUUAGGUCCUCACUCAAAAUAAAUAAUCAAAAGAUAUUAUUUAAAAUUUUUGAUUCUAUAUAAAUACGCAAGAUAUCCCUAGCAUAAUCGGUAUCGAACUAAACAUACACUCGUAUGAGUCCUCGUAGCAAAAUGCCUCUUUAAUAACAAAAUGGAUAGAGCAGGUAGGGCCAUGGAGAAAAUAAAAAGAAGAAAACAAAGGGAGAAGCCAAAACAAGGUGAAAAUAUCGGCUUGAAAAUGGAUACAUGGAUCUCUAUGAAAGAAUUGUUCUAGCUCACUCUCUCUCAAAGCCACCUCCAACCUGAACCCCCCACCCCAACACACACAAAGACACAAAGAGGCAAAAAUAUAUGUCCGUUUCUAACUUUAUUCAUCUUAGGUUCAGGGAACACUUGCCUACAUCAAGUUUUAUACACUUAUACCCCCUCUCUUUUGUGUAACUUUUAAAUUACUUAGUAAAUCUAACUUCUAAGUGCUUAUAGAACCUUUGUUUGUUUUUUUAGAUACUCUUUACAUUGGCUAACACAAAAAAUCAAAAUGUAUAUCCUAUUUUAGUUGUAUCAGAAACAUGUUCCCCUUCGUAGUUUGAUAAGAAAGGUGCAGAAUGAAUUCGUUACAAUUAUGCUAUUCUUUUACCCUUGUAGUAAUCAUAUGAUUUUGGACCUUAAAGUUCCAUUGACACACACCUAAAGUUAUCACGAUGUCGACUCAAAAUUAGAUGGAGUCUAAAUCAGAUUCCCAUGCACUUAAACUUAUAUUUCUAUGCAAACUUGACCUAAUCUAACCACGAGAUCCCACCAAGUUAUAAUGAUAGUUGCACCUCGCUGUUAAGAUCGAUAUGCUCUAUAUUCAAAGUUUGACUUGAACUUCGUUAGGAUGCAGCUUGAUCAGCAUUUACCAAUAGGCUGCAAGAGAUGUUUUUGACUGAUUUAAAUAGUAGAUGAUGUCACUGGAUGCAUAUAUAUCAUCUCGUUCUAAGGCUGAAUCCUUCUUCAUUAUAGGGUCCAGUGCUGAUUACAUUAUUGAAGACGUCCAAUUGAGUGCUUUGAUUAAUUGGAUGGCCCUACGCAACUGGGAGGCACCCCAAUUCUUAAUAGUGAUGGACGCUGUCAAGUAUACAUCCGGACUUGGUCUAUCGCCUAGACUAGCGAGCGGGACAUAGUCAUGGCCUUGGAGAGGGCCGGGGGAGGGCUUUACCUAAGCCAGCGUCAAUAAAUAAUUAGCACUACUCCUUUGUUAAAAAAUAUCAGGGGAGAGCACACUCAUUUGGAGGGCCCCUCCUUCCAGGAAGUUGCUGCAACUUUGAAUGAAUUAGAGCACGUUGUCUACUGGGUUCAGCGCAAGGAUAAAUAGCGUAGGGGCUUCCUCUGCUCUUCUCAAGAGCCCAGGGAUUAGAGGAAGAAAGAAGAGCGAAGAGUUGAGCUGAGUUGAUACCAAGAUGGGGAGAGCUCCCUGCUGUGAAAAGAUGGGUCUGAAGAAGGGGCCAUGGACUCCAGAAGAAGACCAGAUACUGACUGCUCAUAUCCGGAGAUAUGGCCAUGGGAAUUGGCGCGCGCUGCCGAAACAAGCUGGUAAGUACGAAUUCACUGACGAGUUCUCGUUAUAACCUUUGAAGAACUUCUGAUUGGUUUUAUAUAUCUACGCAUUGAAGAAUGUGAAGAGAUCGGCUUUCAUGAAGAGACAAGGAGGUUUUUAAUUCAAAAAGUGAUACUUUGCGAAUAUUUUUCUACGGCUAUCUUUAGUUUUCUUUUUUUCAUGAAUCAUGGGAAAUGACUUUGCUCCACCAAAAAAGAAAAUAUUUGAAAAUUCUUACCAUUGUAAAAUAACAAUGGAAGCGUUUUAAGGCCUUGAUGGCUUGAUGAAAGAGAGGUAGUAUCAUAAAAUCCAUAGUUUUUUUUUUUUUGUAGCAAAAGUUCCGUAAAGUGAGUUGGUCUUUGAAAAACUUUAAUCAAUUCAGGUACUUCGCAGUCAUGAAUGUUUUGAGCUUUGAUUAGAGAUGAAUGAGGUCUCACCACUCUUUACAUUUAUCUAAAAUUUUAUUUCUUUAGGUCUGUUGAGAUGUGGGAAGAGUUGUAGGCUUCGCUGGAUUAACUACCUGCGACCGGAUAUCAAACGAGGGAACUUCACAAAGGAGGAAGAGGAAACCAUCAUCCACUUGCAUGAGAAACUUGGGAACAGGUACAGUUCAACACAAAAUACGGCUCUCCUAUCUUUUUUCCAGCGUAGUAUACCGUUUCCUAAAAAAAAAACACAGAGAGAAAGAGACAAAAGGGCAUAAACAGCCACAAGAUUUUGACUGGAAAUAUUUCAAAAGAAAUAGGAGAAGAUGCUUCUUAAUUUUUUUGUAUUUAUUCUCUUAGCUUGCUAAUGACCUCGGUUAAUAAAAAAGAAAGUUUGGAGAGUCUCAAAGAUUCCUUUCGUUUUGGCUUUGGCUACCACCACUACAUGGACCUUUACAUGCCUACAGGACCACAAGCAUUAAGUUGUCAACACCUUGAAACCAUCCAUACAUGGAUGAAUGCGCUGUUUAUCAUAUUAGAGUUGCUUUCAGACACUACAGAUUUCCUCACACUAUAACAAGAUGAACCUAUAAACAAAGCAUUGGUAAACCUGUAGUUUUGUUUAGUCAGUCAAAUCAAACAAGAAAAUAAGAAAUUUGUAUUUAUCUUUCGACAUGCAAGUGUGUUGUACAAUUCUUGUUGCAUAAAAAAAAAAUGGUCUCUUAAUACAAUUCUUUUCAUGUUUUCGAUAGAUGGUCUGCGAUUGCUGCGAAGCUGCCAGGGCGGACGGAUAAUGAAAUCAAGAAUGUGUGGCACACACACUUGAAGAAGAGAGUAAACCCGAACCAGGUGGCGCAAGAAUCAAAGAAAAAGACCCAAGUUGAUGCCAUGAUUGAGAAGGAGUCCAAACAUACGCCUACACAACUCAAUUCAGGCUUAACGCACCCAAGAUUUGAUGAUCCAAGACUUCCGCCAGUAUCCCCAGAACGAUCAUAUAGUGACAUCUCAUGCACUGCUACUGAUUCAUCUACAAUAUCGCGAGAAAAUACUUGCAAUGUGAGUGUCAAAGAAGAGAGCUUUUCUUCAGAAGAAUUCCCGGUGAUCGAUGAGAGCUUCUGGUCAGAGACAUUAUCCAUGGAUUUCACAGCAUUAGAAGGUCCAACAUUUGGUCCACUAGGGGAGCCCUUUGGCUCAUUUGGGGCAUCCAAUGAUGAUGACAUGGACUUUUGGCUAAGGGUGUUCAUGGAAGCUGGUGAUUUGCAGGCUUUGCCACCAAUUUAACCACUGGAAGGGACAUGCGAUAGAUUCCAUUUUGAUGUGAAUGAGGAAAUUGACUUUAGAUAAAUUUUUUCCUAUAAAUUUUUCAGUGGUGGGUGAAUUCGUUAACUCUACAUCAAUCAAGAAAGAGUCAUAGGUGAACUGGGCGAGUUUGAAAAUUUAACCGUUUUUGAUCCUUUCUUCCAUGUAUAGAAACAGAUAUUGCCGUGUGGAUUUUUCAAACAGCAAAAAUUUGUAAUUUGGAUAUUUUCCUAAUAGAAACGAUUUUUAUUUACACACCUCCAAACCUCUUCUAUGACAUCCUGAUACUUUUGUUAAGUUGUCAUUCCAUUUCUAAUUAAUGUUCCUAAAGCAAGCACGACAAGGUAAAAAUCAAUCUAUAUGGUUCUUGUGCUCUUCCAUAUAUAACCAAAUAAAGUGCUAUAUAUAUAUAUAUCAAUGUCAGUACUGUAGCAUUUUCCUUUCACCUCGAACUUGGAGUUGUGCAUCUUGCCAUGGUCUGCUUAUAAAGCUCCUGAUCAAAAUUUGGACAGAGCAAUAAUAAAAAUAAUAAAUGCCCUAUAUUCUAGGGACUCUAAGCCCCAGUUAGCUGGUUCGAUGCCUUUGGCUUUUCAAGCAUGAUAAGAAAUGGUGAAUUGGAUUUCAUCCAAGAAAAAAGAAAGAAAGAAAGAAAGGAAUGAUGAAUUGUUCCUUACUUUGCUAGACAAGUAAUUAAUCUUAUUUUGUGCCAAAAAAAAAAAAACUAUAUGGAAUUUUAAGUGUAGAGCAUUUAGCACCAAAUUCAACGCUCACUACUUAUAACAUACCAUUUGUAACAACCAAGGUAUUUUUUUGGGUUUAUGGUUACACUCGAUGAACCCGUAUUAUAGUGUUCCCUAGUCCAUAUAGGCUAUGGGCCGAAUUCGCUCUGAUAUCAUUUAUAACAACUCAGGACCUCAUCCAAAAUAGCUAAAUGAAAGGUACUAUUUAGGUUUCUUGAUCUUAUAUAAGUAUCCAAAACCUAACGAAUAACCGAUGUGGGACUAAACACAUGCUCGCACAUGCCUUUAGAAUAAAACUAGAAAUGGAAUUCUAAAUUCAUUAAAACUAAUGACCAACUAAACAAGAAUUCUAUUAGAAUUAGGACUUAGCAAUGAAUCUCAACAAAUAUGUCACCUAAGUCUUAUCAUAGUUCAGUGGUAAGCACACGUGUGGAAGAUCGGGUAAACAAACAACAUCGUGUUGUGGUCAACUUAGGAUUUUUGCUAUAGCUUACAAAUAUUUCUGAUAUUUGUAGCAGGUAAAUAUAUCAUGGUCCAUGGUUAAAAAAAUAUUUUUUUGUGAAAAUUAGCAAAUAUUAAUUUGUAGAACCAUGUAUAUGUACCUUCCACUGCUUCAAACUUGAGGUAUAAUAUUAUUUAAAAUCUCAAAUUAAUCAUAUAUUUUCAACUCGAAAUGCCAUAUAUCAGAAAAAAUCUGAUAAGAUUUUCUCUCUAGCUUACAUCACCUUUUGCACGGUGUCUUCUAACAGAACUUAUGCCAUCAGGCAAUUCAAAUUGACCAAUUCCAGUUAAGAUUAUAUUAUUGUGAACCAAAUCCUAUGUGAUAAGUAUCAAACAAGUCAUGCACAGGCAGCACAGCUUCAAUUUGGAAGAUAAGAAGUAACCUUGAAUAAAGUUUGUGGGCAGAUUAAAAUUCCCUCAUGUCUUUGCACAAAUUUCUUCUUUCAACUCUUUCAGGAAAUCAAAACCCUAGUCAUGGCUGGCUCCGUCCACGAGGGGGAAGGCUACCCUAACUUGUGUACAAAAGGAUAACUUAAUAAACUUCCUAAGAAAUUAUCAAGUGUAACUCAAGGCUUUGGAAUUCCAAAGUAAAAAUCCUUUGCAAAAUAAUGCUAGCUUCGCCCAUGCGGAAGGCAAAAUAUUGUAGUUUUUCCAUAAGCUGAUGGGAAUGGAAAUCCUGAUUUGAAAAGUUUAAUCAUUGUCCCUUGAUGUGGUUAACUUGACAAACAACCAGAUGAAUUAUAUAUUUAUUGACUAGUAGUACGAUUAAUGAUUCACAACUUCUCUUAUUAUGGAUGUAAAUAAAGAAUUAGUCAUAUAAGCUAUAUACCUUAUAACUGGAAAACUGAAACUUGGUCACAGAGACGUGAAGUUAUGAACAUUCUCGAAUAUAAAUGAAGAGCAGAAACAUAUUAUCAUUUAAACCAGUAUCCAUUCUUACCAUACGCACAUGCACAAGCAUCCAUGUACGUAGUACACAUGCAUGCAUGCAGAUACACAACAAUAACAGGCACUAGUAUUUAGAGUUGUUCCAAGCCUUCCACCCUCACAAGUUUUUAUCUUUUAAAAUUUCUCUUCAGGAGGUCUUUAUUGAUGGUAUCCUUGUCUUAUCAUAUCGACUUGAAGCAUGACAAGGCAGCGGUUAAACCCAUCUAGAGACAAAGACCUCUUGGAGUUGGUAUCAGAUGUAAUUUAAUUAUAAACUAGGAUCAAGCUGCCUUUUUUAAAUAGGCAAGACUUCGUGUCCUUAUACAUUGUUAGUUUAUGAUGGGCACGCCGAUAGGGUUAUCUUUCGACAAGAACUUUUUUUAUUAUAAAAUAGAGUGUAAGAGAAAAAUUGGCCUGAUUUUGAAUAUUUUAGCCUUUUAAUUUAAAAAUAUUAUCAGACUUGAUAUCGACCACUUGGACCAUUGUGGAUAGAAUAAAGAUAGGAUCCAAAAAUGAAAUCCACCAUAUUGAACAAGCAAAUCAUAAACCAAAUUUUUAAAGGCUAUAUUUUAAUUGUAAGACAAUUGAUUGAGAUUAUAUUUUUUCAAAUCAGAUAACUUUUUGAGAUUUACGGCAUAGUGCCGCUUCCUAAAAGAAGUUGCACAGGGAUCAUAUCCAAAUUUUAUUAUUUGGAUCCCAAAACGGGUCAGUUAAACUAGUUUUUUUGUGGAAAAAACUUGUUGAUAUAGAAGUUGAGAUCUAUAAACAACAUCUAUUUUUGCUCAUGUAGGAUUUUAGCUUUUUCAUGCUUAUUUCUACAAACAUCUAUUUUUGAAAAACUAAUUCUAUUUAAAUUAGAAGAGAAAUCCAACGCUAAUUAUACAAAGUGGAUCUUACUAUUAUAAAUAGAGACUGUAUUCCUUAGUUUUCGAAUCAUCAAUAAUAGAAAAGAAGACCUACAUCCUACUUUUAUCAACUUUCCACUAUUCUUUAAAUUUCUAUUGAAAUAUUCGAGUUGAGUAGGAUGAAGAAAAUUUUCCUUCUCCUCAAUAGGAACUUUUUUAGAUAAAGAUAAUUCAAAAUUUAAAGACGUACACCGGCAGAUAAUCAUCCAAAAGUUUUUUUUUUUCUUUUAGGGUUCAUAUGGGGAAGAAAGUAUGGCAAAACCAUCCUUCUUUUACUUGAGAAUUAUACCAUCAUUUCUUUUGAAUAGAAUGACAUAUGGUUAUACCAUGCAUUUGAAACAUGUCAAUUCUCCACCUUAAUGUGGGUGAGCUAUGGAGUUUUUGUUCUAGGACCGUCUAACAAUAUCCUACUACAACACAAGCAAAUAAUUUCUCAUGCAAAUGUGACAAUGAGUGAGAUUUUCUUAUUUUUGCUAAGUAUACAGACUCGGAGAAUUAGGAUACAAGAUUUUGUUUUCCUGACUCAUUGAGCUCAAGACUUUUCAUGAUCUAAUUGUUAAGAGUUGUAUGGAAAUGUAAUAUCUUACAUCCAAAUANNNNNNNNNNNNNNNNNNNNNNNNNNNNNNNNNNNNNNNNNNNNNNNNNNNNNNNNNNNNNAUAUAUAUAUAUAUAUAUAUAUAUAUAUAUAUAUAUAUAGAGUACAAAGCAACAUGAUCCCAUGAUUGAUAGGAAUGUACAUGGCAUGCUACAUCAGCAUGAUCCCAUGAUUAAUGGAAAUAUAUAGUAUGCCAGCAUCUCAUAAGUGUGAUGAGUUUAUGCGAUAUGUGAUCUUAAAUGAUUCCAUGAUUGACAAGACUGACAUGGUAUGUGAUCCCAUAAGGUUGACUAGAUGACCACUGUAUGUGAUACCACAAAUAUUUACACAAUUAAUGGGAUUAGGUGACAUAUAUGAUGACAUCUAUUUUAAGUAGUCAUGAUUUUAACAAUUCUUCCCCUCAAGUUGGAGCUUGCAAAUCAAGAAUGCCCAAGCUGUCCUUUAAUUACAAUUGAAAAUGAGCUGUACUCAAACAUUUGGUGAAGAUGUCGGCCAACUGAUGAGAGGUGAAAAUAAUUAUACAACAUAGUCAUCUAUAACUUUUUCCAAAUGACAUUCAAAGAUUUGGCAAAGAUAAAUAUAGAGUACAAAGCAACUUGUUCGAUAAUAUUGAUGGGAAUGUAUAUGGUAUGCCCCCAUCCUACAAGAUUGAUGGUCCAUAUAUGAUAUGUGACCUUAUAAUUAAGAUUCCAUGAUUGAUGUGAUCUCUAUGAUAUGUGAUCCCACAAGAUUGACUAGAUAUCUAUGGCAUGAUCCUACACAUGUUUAUAUAAUUAGUGGGAUUGAUUACAGAUAUAGCAUCUAUUCUAAUUCAUCAUGAUUUUUCUAAUACCAAUCUUGUGUGACCUUCUGGACUUGAACUCGUCAUUACUCGAGUGCUCAUACUAAAAGAGAGAGCCCAAUUUUUCCAAUAAUUACUUUCAACUACAAAAUAUGUAUGUGUAUGUAAACUAUAAUUCAUUGGCUUUGUACUCCUAAUCGGUGACCAACUCACCUCCAUUUUAAUUAGAGGGCAAAAUGGUACGUGUAGAGGUGCAACAAAAGGUCAGCGACUAUAGAGUAUAGCGGGAAAAAAUAAAAGGCAGAACGUUUCCACGUUCUUACACGAUAUAGAAGAACACUUAGUUGAGGCAUCAGCUUUCCUUUCUUGUCUACAACCGGACUUCAUUAAAAUUAUAGUUAUAAUAUUCUCCAAAGCACUGAAGGAACUCCAAUUAUUGAUAUACUUAAGUGGAUCUUUUUUCCCUAGAAUAUAUUUACGUGGAUAUUUAUUCUCUGAAUCAUUUUCAGUUCAUGCUUCUCAUUCACUACUAGUCGUUAUUACUUUCUAUACAUGACCAACAUAUAGAUAUAUUGUUCUAGCUUUCCUUUUCAAUCGCUUUAUCUGCUCAAAUCUUCCCAAACUUCUUGCAGUUUCUCGUUUUUAAUUUCCAUGGAAGAAGAGCUUAACUUAAGCAUGCGGCAUUGCUCCUUCUACGGGCUCUAUCUUGAAUUCUUGCGAUCAGCCACUUGAUUAAAAUAAUCACAGCAGCUUAAAAAUGCGACAAUUACCAAUGCCAUAUAAAUUCUGGGAGCUCAUCUGCUAAGGACUUUUCUUACAAGAAUCUUUCUGAGGAUGACCUAGUUUUAUGAUGAACUGCAUCGAUCACCAUCAAGUUCAACCUCAUUGUCCCUUUUUCUUCUUUUUUUUUUUCUGAUUAAAAUGACGUAACAACAACCAUCGACCUCAUUGUCAAAAAUGAUGUUCUUUGUUUUUUUUGGGGAGAAAAUCAAACAAGCUAGUUCAGUGGAUCCCUCUAUGUUUCAACUAUAGAUGUCUCUGUAUCUUAGCUGUAUAUAUUGCUUCAAAAUAGAUGUCUUUUUGUCUUGGGUGCGUCCGGGCUGUGUGUAAUGGUUGAAACAUCUAUAUCUGAACAAUCUUAAACAGCCAAGACACAGGCUGGAUGCCGGCGAAGCGUGUCUACAGAAUCCAUUCCGUCUGCCGACAAAAUGGAAUCCAUUCCUAAAGACGCGUGGGUGGUCAUAUCAUAUACAGCAGAAAUGGAGAAGUUGGAUACCAAACCCAGCCGCAAGUUGACGAGAAGGCAAGGCGACAAUUCGGAGAGACCUGGGCCAAGAAAAAAUUAUUGAUUUGAUACAGUUCCGGAUAAGUAGAUUGCAGCAAUUUUCUCCCCGAGUUGCUUGGUUUUUUGACUUGCUACCCUGUCCGCAUGGAUCGAGAUUACAUAAUAUUCAGCAUCACUUGGCUGAGUAGCUAAAGAUUAGAUAUCGACAGCUAGGUCGAGAAAAUAAAAUGGCGUACAGAAUCUUUCUUNNNNNNNNNNNNNNNNNNNNNNNNNNNNNNNNNNNNNNNNNNNNNNNNNNNNNNNNNNNNNNNNNNNNNNNNNNNNNNNNNNNNNNNNNNNNNNNNNNNNNNNNNNNNNNNNNNNNNNNNNNNNNNNNNNNNNNNNNNNNNNNNNNNNNNNNNNNNNNNNNNNNNNNNNNNNNNNNNNNNNNNNNNNNNNNNNNNNNNNNNNNNNNNNNNNNNNNNNNNNNNNNNNNNNNNNNNNNNNNNNNNNNNNNNNNNNNNNNNNNNNNNNNNNNNNNNNNNNNNNNNNNNNNNNNNNNNNNNNNNNNNNNNNNNNNNNNNNNNNNNNNNNNNNNNNNNNNNNNNNNNGAGUAUAGUUUUUAUUUCAGUACAUGUUCAUAUAAUUGGCCGGUUCGUCGCAUGCGAUUUGCUGCUCAUUCUAUAAUACAGUGUGUAACAUCACAAGUCUCACAAAUCUGAUGGUCCUUAUCCGUGUUCGUAAUAUCAAAAAGCAAGGAACAAGGAAACGAUCUAGAUCAGUGGGCAUUGCGAUCACAAUAUGUGAUCAACGGGGAGAUUAAGACGUGAAAUGAAAUCCCAGAAUUCUCUCAAUCACAACUACCUUGUGUUUGAAACUAAUCCUGCCUUAAGUCGGAAUCAUACUAGAAUUUUAUUUCUUUUGGACAUUAAAUUUCCUUCUCGUUCGCAUGUUCGACAUCGAGAAGAGCAAUAUGACCAAACCGGUUUUCAUGAGCAAAAAUGACCAGCAAACAACAAAACGAAAGAUUCAUACCCAACGCAGCAACAUCUGCAACAUUUUCCAUGAAUAAAUAGUACAUAUCCGGAUUUAAGUUACCGUCUCCGCAUAAACCACAGCAUAAUAAGACGAGAGCACUGCAAUUAGAGAUAAUGAGGCCUACUGUAAGAGCAAAAAGAAAGGAAAUACCAAAUAGAUCAAGAGAGGCAACAUCUGCAACAAUUGUUUCUGCAGAACCAAAGUUUAUUUAUUCAAAAUCUGGAGUUACUUCUCAGUAUGCAGUAACCAUAGGGCCUCUUAACCCCACUCCAGGCGUAGAUAACGAAGGAGACAGUUCAAGAGAGGCAUGAAUAUGCCAAUGCCUUCUCCUCCGUCAACUCCACAGCAGUCGCAUCCAUUUUCUUCCUCGAGAACUCAUCAAUUGGAAGCCCUGAUAGCAUCAUAGGCAGAGAUAUUAAUGAUCAAUCACUUUUCUCCUUUACUUUGUACUACAUAUCAGUUGAUUAUUCAGAAAGUUUUAUGGCAUAAAACUGUGCAAAACAAGAUGAGUAAUUCUAUUACCAGAAUAUGAUACUAAGCUAGAUAAACUACAUGGAGAAGCAGCUUGAUUCUUGGAAAUACUUCAAUACGAUGGAUAAAUUCUUGAAAAUACUUCAAUAUGAAGGAUGAUAUUAUUUAGGAAGAUUCUAUUCAGCCAAUCUGCAGAAUGCAGAUGAUACCAAAAUUAUGUGUGAACACACUGGAUUCCAAACAUAAGCCUGCACCAUAAUGCAUUGGUUAUAAAACUAAUGCCACUUCAUAGGCUGAUUGACCGUUUCUACAAAGUGCAACAACAUCCAAUUACAAAGUGGGUUUUCAUCUCAGGAUAGUCAGCCUGAGAUAUAGUUUGGAUCAGUAUCAGAUAGUCACUGAUAUAUCGGCCGAUAUGAUAUCAAAAUAUUGGCUAAGGUUUCCUGGCAUGCCUUUUAGAAUCUUUAAAUUAAUAUUUUAUUAUUACAUCUUCAAAUCACUGUCUUAAUAAGGAAAUUGGUGCAGGUCUACUAGAUUAAUCAGGGCCUUUGAGAUCUCAGUUCCUAUAAUAACGGUCGAGAUAUCAGAAUUCUUUCCUUUCUUCAUUUUUCUGAAUUUCCUAUCUUUGUGGAGAUAAACCAAUAUCUUGUCCAUCGCAAUAUCGGAAACCUUCUGGGAUGACUAAGAUCUAGGUAGUUAAAAAAUCCUGAUCAAAUCACCAAAAAUAACAUCCAUUAUUUGGUCAUGAUUGUUGCAAUACAGAGUUGCAGUCUUUAUUUUACGACUGUGCAACUCAGUUUGAGUUCACCUUUUCAGCCCAUGUGAGAUAAUGUGGGAAGGACAAGAUUCCCUUAAAUUACAAAACCGAACGAUGUUUUUGCUAUAGACAAAAUCAACCAGGAGAUCAACCCAAUAAGAAAUAAAACAAGUCUCUAGAUAUCAACAGUUAUGGACUGUACGUCGAAUGGCUCAAGUCAAUCCUGAAUAACAUGGCCAUUCAUGUAAUCAAGUCUGGCAAGCAAAGUUCACAGUGCUAACGUGUACCAUCCUGUACUAGAAAACACUGUACCAUAUUGGUACCAACUGAUGCUUGAUAUGAGGGGUAUACCAAGUGCCACUAUGCCGAAUUGCCCUUGGCACCAAGGGUUCUGACAUUGCACCAAGAUGGCACAGCUAUGGGAUCUAGUACCAAGAUUGUGAACUUCACUUGCAAGUCCGUUGGGUUUCCACAAUGGGAUCAUUUGGGAUAAAAAAUCACAGAAGAUUUAUGAAUCGACCAUCUACAAUUUGGAAGGAACGAAAAGAUGAGUUCAAAACAGUGGAUAUUUUACAACCGAGGAUUUGCCAAGAAACCAUAUAAUCCAAUUCGUUUCCCAAAAAAAUUAUGAAAAUCAAGUGAACCAAAAAUAGGAGGAAUAUAAAUCAGCACUAGUUAAUUAAGCUCAGCUUAAUGUCACUGGAAGUGUAGUUUUAGUAGAAAUAGAGAUAAAGAUGGGACGCCACUUAAGUUUGAUGGAUAUGGGAUCCCAUGAAACAAUCAGUUUCGUUAUCAGAAUUUAUUAAACAAAAUAAUGGAAAAAGAUGAAAGCAUAUGUGACAAAUCUAUAGCUGGUUGGAUGGAGGGGAGAAGUUCUUGAGGGCUAUUAUGUAAUUAAGACACAACUAAGGAAAAAAUUAGAAUGACAAUAAGACCUUGCAAUAUCAUAUGGUCUAGAAUAUUGGGUAAUAAAGAGGCUCCAGAAAACAAGUUAAAUGUAGCAAAUAUGAGGACAUACGCAAGUGAGAGAAUUUACAAAAACAGAGGAAUGAGUAUCCUCAAAGAGUUGUAUGAGUUAUCCAAAUAGGAAAUUAAGUGAUGGAGAAUUGGUUAUGAUGGUAUGGGCAAGUGUAAGAUAAGCUGAGGGGCUCUGUUAUUUGUCAAAAGAUAUAAUAAAUAGAAGGGAAGACCUGAGGUAACACAAAGUUGUGAGAGGGGAUAUAGAAAAGCUUGAUAAGAGGUAGCCAUAAGUAGGAAUGCUGGGUGAACAAGGAUUCUAAAAGCUGAACCCAUAAGUAAAAAUUCUGGGUGAACAAUGAUCCUAAAAGCUGAACCCAAAACAUCAGGACAUAGGUUAGUCAUGGUUGCGAGCAUUCCAGGUGAGUGCUGCUGCAGGUAAAACAUUUUCAACAUAUGGUACUUCAAAUUAUAGAUAGAUUCAUCGGGCAUCUCAAAUGGGGAAAAGAAUGAUGAUUUGUAGACAAACAUUUUCAAGGAGAUACAGAAGUGAUGUAUGGACCCCAAUAUGACUUGUCAAGAAAUGCAAGAAGGCUAAGUCUUUGGUAGAGAGGGAGAGUAGGAAUAGGAAUAGUAUUAUAUAUGAGAGGAACUAUUCGGGCAUGUGUUUAUUCCCACAUGUGGGUGUCCAUUGGGUAAGUCUUCGGUACUUAAGUAGGGCCAAGGACCCAAACCAAUAAACUUCUAGCUAGCCUUUUUGGAUGAGGUUGUGGGCUGUCAUAAAUGCUUUCAGAACUAACCCAGGCCACAGUGCUUUUGAACUAAUCAUAAACCAGUUGGGUUGUUUAUAAUUGGACCCUUCCCUUGAUGAGCCUGCUUUAGAUUAAAUGGGGAGAGUGUGGACCAAUGCAUGCAUUUAGUCCCACAUUUAGCGUGCGUUGGGUAGUCAAGCAAGGCUAAUGACUCCAGUUAACAACUUCAAUCAGGCCUUUUUAGGUGAGCUCCUGGGUCAUUACAGCAUAUUAGUUAAGAGUUCUUCAAUUGGUCUUAAUUUCCUAAUAAAGUUGGUAGGUUCAACCUUUACCAUGAAGCCCAGUGUCUGCUAAGAGAAUUAGGUGGUUAGAUUCAGCAAAAGUAGGAAAGCAGAAAAUUGCGGGGUUUUAUUAAAGUGUAAGGUAAGAACAAAUCAUUAUCAUAUAUCCUUUUAUUCCCCUUCAGAGUCUGUGGUUUUUACUUUGUCAGGGAGUCUUUACCGUGCAGUGAUGUUACAUGGCAGUACACUUGAUCUCAAGUUCAUCUCUUUCUUUCAAGUGCAAGCAUGUCCAAAAUGUCAAGUACUACAAGUCUACAACCAUUAGGGGGCAAAUAAGGAAAACUUUUGCUUAAAGGAGUUAUUACAGGUUUAUAAGAUGAAGUUCAUGCAUAAAUGACUUCCAUGGCAAUGAACAUAACAAAUGUGAAUGACUAAAAUAUCAAAAAAUGACUAAUGAUAUUCCAAUAAAAUUACAAAUCACUAUGGCCACAAGUACCAAUAAAAAAUGAUUAAAAAAAAUAUUUAAGAAUAAGUAGAUCCAGAUUUCUCAUACAAAUAAUACGCAUACUCAUAAUGAAAUUUAACAAAAACUGUUGUUUAUAGUUUAAAGAAUAAAAAACAUUUUUCUCCUUAUUUUGCUAAAAUAUUUGUUCCUAAAAUUUGUAAGCUUUAUUUAUAAAUUGCUUGCAUGCACACUAACAUCUAACAAAUUCACUUUUAGGGAAUUUUAAUUAAUAGGAUAACAAUCAAACCCAUUUUUCAUAAUUUUAUAUAAUUAAUUUUGAAAUGUAUGGAAGGAAAGCAAAUUAAGUAAAUCACUAAAAUCAAGUUUCUCUUAAAUAUCUCGAAAUUGAAUACUAAGGUUUCUUUGCCUUUCAAAACAUUAAAAAAAAUCCAGAUUUGAUCUUGCUAGUUCAGUCUAUCACCUGUAAGCAAUAUCUUACUGCAAAUGUAAGAUAAUUAAAGCAAACACCCUUAAAUGAGACUCAAGGCUUUCUAUGUGUUGAAGUCAUCAAAAAACACUGAAACUAGUCAAUUCCAAAAUAUAUUAACUGAAGCCAAUAAAACCUCAAAACUUUAGACCUAUUCCAACUGAAAUAGCCCCCGCCAAAACCCAAAACAUACACCAAACAACUCCAGCCUCUCUUAGCUUCAAAUGGUCCUAGACAAAUCCUAUCUCACCUAUGCAACAACAAAAAUGUCAAGAAACACUGUCUUUAAGGGAAUCAUCAAUGCAAAGAGUGCCUUCAGCUUAAUUCAUCUUAUAAGGAGUAUUAUUUAUCAGAAUGACAUUGCACUACAGUCUGUGCACCUAUAUUUUCUCUGUGAAGUUGUGAACCAGAGAAAUUUAGGUACAGCAUUGUUGAAGGCAGCUACUACAAAAAAUAUUAUAAACUAUUGGUUACGGAUGCAUGACACAACUAGGGAGAAGUAGAAGCCCUACCAGGUUAGUGUAACAAGCUAUAACUAAGAAGAACUUCCACCAGAUUUGCACCUCUAACCACCUUUAAUAGUGAAAGACUAGCUUAGAAUAGACUUAAACUUUCCCAAGUAUUAAGCUCAAAUCCUGUUCAUCUUUUUGAUGUGAUAGGUUGAUCACACCUUCAAAAUCUGCAUGGCUUCUUCAUAGAUAUAAGAAGCAGCAUGACUUCGAACAAAGACUGUACCAGAUGAUACUUGGACUACUCUGUUAAUUUAUAAUACAAACUGGAUUUCAAAAAAAAUCAACAUAUUAUGGAUUUUGUAAAAAUUCAGCCUAGUCAAUAUAAGCAUACAAGAUUCUGAAGUUUCCCAAGCAACAUGCAUACCUUGAACAAUGGUCCACUCGCCAUUGCGACAUGUCACAGGAAAUGAAUAAAUAAGCCCAGCUGGUACAUUGUAUGAACCAUCAGAAUACACUCCCAUGGAAACCCAUGUUCCCUGAGACAGCGGAAGGAAAAUAUUUAGCGAACUUCACAACAAACAAGCCAACUGAAUCAGAUAAAAGACAGCUGAACAAUGGUCCACUCGCCAUUGCGACAUGUCACAGGAAAUGAAUAAAUAAGCCCAGCCGGUACAUUGUAUGAACCAUCAGAAUACACUCCCAUGGAAACCCAUGUUCAACAGAAUACAACCUCAGGUGUCCCAAGGACCCAAUCACGUAUGUGAUCACAAGCAGCACUAGCUGCAGAUAAUGCACUUGAGAGCUUCCUUGCUUUAAUGAUUGCAGCACCACGUUGUUGAACAGUUGUGAUAAAUUCUCCCUUCAGCCUAUAAUAAUCAGAUAGCAGCACACAUAUCAGUUUUUAGUUACAAAACCUUGAAUACUCGUGAUGGAUUUUAGGAACAUUGUAAGCAUAAAAGUAUGUCUCUGUGCACACUCUUACCAAUCAUCGGCGGCAACAAGUUCACGGGCAGGCUUUUCACCACCUGGUGUUUUUACAGUUGCAUGGUUCACAUCAGGGUACUGAGUGGAAGAAUGAUUUCCCCAAAUGAUUACAUUCUUAACAUCACUGACUUGAAUAUUUAAUCUCUCAGCAAUCUGGCCCAGUGCCCUGUUGUGAUCUAGUCGUGUCAAGCAAGUUAUAUUUUUCUCAGGGAUGGAUGGAGCAAACUCUUUCAAAAUCAGAGCAUUCGUAUUUGCAGGAUUAGCCACAACUAGCACCUGCAGGACAAAAUUGUAAACUUUGGAAAAAGACAGAAUCAUGCAGGUGCAUAUCAUAGAUAUAUAUAAAUAAGUAAUCCACACUGAAACAGCAAGAACUAUACAAGCUCUCUGAACUAAACUGUGCUGUGCUGCAAUUUUUAAAUAUUAUUAAACAUCCACACAUUUACAGAAAAGAGAUGAAUAAAUAGAUAGCAUGUGCAUCUGUGAUGUUUCACACCUUACAGUUUGCAGCUGCAUACUUUUCAAGGGCAGAGGCUUGAGAUUUAUAGAUUGAAACAUUUUUCGACAUCACAUCUUUCUUUCCAUUCCCUCUUUCCUUGGGAACCCACCAACCAUGACUGCAAUGUUGACACCAGUACAGGCCUCGACAGCAUCAGUUGUAGCAACAACUCCUGAAUAAUCAUUGGAGGCAUUUUGUAAGAGUAAGCAUCAGGAUUAGAAGGUUAAAAAUGAAGGAUGCUAGAUUAACUGUAUAUAGACCAAAACAGAAACAAUACCUUUAAGAAGAGGAAAUGCUGCAUCAAUCAAUUCCAUUUUAACCCCAUUAAGAGAUUCUGCAGCAGGCGGAAUAUCAAGCAUGUGCAAGAUAACAGGCUGAUCCAGACCUAGCAUUACUCCCCUAGCAAUCAUAGGUACCAGUGCAUAUCCAAUUUGCCCUGAAAACAUAACAUCACUCAAAAUGUUACAUUGCUGCUUUUUGAAUUGGGUUGAGAUCCUUCUCAAAAAAAGAAAGGACAAGUGUUGAAUCACCAAAGAUCAAGAAGAAAAUGAAAAUGUCCAAUAUGAUAAAACUGGGGGAAGGAGCAGGCAUCUAGAACCAAUUUUUUCCUAGAAAAGCAUAAUCUUACAACUGUUUUUGAUUAAGCAACAGAAGCUUCCUCUUUGAAGGAUUUUGUUUUUUUAAAAAUAUCAUAUUAAAACUUAUAAAAGGAGACUGCACAUGGCAGGAAACAGCAGAUAAUUUUCAUCAGCUGUAAUGUCUAUGCAGCAUAGCCAUCUUUUAUUGACUAUGGACGUGAAUCUCAACUAUUCAGAGGAGUAUGAUGGUCAUCAUUGAUUCAUUUUGGUUGCAAAAAGACCAGAUCAACAACGGGAGUAGACAUGAAACAGCAAGGAUGGUUUUGACACCAUAGUGAAGUAGUUGGCAGUCAUGGCAAUUUACAAGACUUCUAUAUGAUACCCAAAGGGACAAAAUUGAAAUUUUCAUGUUGCCAAUUUAAGGGCAAUUACUAAGAAAGAAAACCUAAACUUGGAAAGUUUGAUGAUUGAAUCUCAUAAUUGCAUAAUUAUUGAAUUUAAUAAUAUAGGCAGAAAAAGCGAUGUGAAUGUCAAAAAUAAGGAGGAGGAGGAAAUGGUUAAAAGUUCACCAAGAAUAUGAAGUGGUUCAGAACAGGUCCAUUAUUAAAAGAACUAAUCUAUAAAAUCUACACAAUAAACUCAUUACCUAAAAAGUCUGCUUGGAAAAUGGCUUUACGUGGAACUUAUUUGGGGUUGAGGAGGGAAAAAACUGAAAGAACUCUCAAGAGCUUGAUGAACCAACUAUAGGAACUGGUAGAAAUCGAGCAGACAUUCAUAUUGGAAAAGGGGAAAAAGGCAAGAAAAACUAUAACUUUGCAGUGAGAUAAAAGACACUAAUAAAAUACAUCUGUAUCCCAAAAAAAGAAAAACAAAAAAGUUGGGUCCCUAAACCAACCAACAAUAAUAAUGCCAAGAAAGUGCAUGUCCCAGGUAUCCAACUUUCCAGACUCCCGAGGAUAUAUGGCACAAAUGUUCAAAUUGGAUAAGUAGAUGUAAUAUCAAUUCCAAACAUAAGAAAUGAUUGAACUCCAAGACACAAUUGCAUUCGGUCAUCAUGAAUAUUCAAUUUGAUCAUUCAGAUUAACAGGUCAAGCCUUUCUUUGCUAACACUUUAAAAUAGUGCCCCCAACCCCAACCCUCACCUCCCUCUUCCUUGUGCUCAUGUCCCAUAUGAAGUAUCAUGUCGUCCUUGCAGUGUAUUAUGGCAAAGUAGUUAAAGUAGUUAAGGAUAUAUCUGAGACUUCCAGGGAAUGAAACAAAUACAAGAAUUCUAUAUUAGCAACUAUACCAGCCCACAACAUACCUAGAAAAAAAGUGUCAAACAAAGCAAUCUCGGACAUCAGAAAGGCAAGUGCUUUUCAUGUACAACUUUCUCCAUGCAAGAACGCGUACAUCCAAACAUCACAACGACGUGCAAACUAAUAUGUGACUAAACCACAAGCUAGGGGCAUGUAAUGAGAAAACGAAAAAUUAAUUGGCCCUUUAGGUUAAUUAUAACCACAGAAGAUCAUAAUUCUUGUCCAAAAAGAACUUCACUUUGUUCCAUUCAAAAGUCAACGAAAUAGAAAUCAAGCCAAGAACUUGAUCUGUUCUACUUCCAAAAAAUCACCCCUCCGAAACAUCCGGUUAUUUCUACUAUAUUCUUGUCAAGAAAAUUAAUUUUUAAAGGCCAGCUUUUUAAAUAUGUACUUAUGCCAGCUACUAGUGUUACAAGCCCUAAGUAUAUCGAAUCAACUGAUCCAGUCCCAACAAAGAGAGAUGCAUAAUAGCUCCUCCUUCACAAGAUCACCAAGCGAUCAAAAUACGAUUCGUUGGAAUCACGGAGAUCGAUUCGCUCG